CUUCCCACCAGCAGGGGGAUUGUCUGAUAUUUCAGACAGUCCCACUGCUGGCAGAUCCAUAGCCAGUUAUAGGGGGCCAUGUGAUCGCUCUUUGAGAGUGAUCACAUGGCCCCCGGGGGCCUCAUUCGCCGGAGGAGGGCUGCCUGGGCGGUCUGGCAGCCCACCAGAAGAGGAUCGCAGCGGAGGUAAGUAGCUGCGAUCCCCUGGGGCUCAAAGCCGUUACGGUGUUCUAUGCCGCCGCGACGGCAUAGAAAGCCGUAACGGCGGGAAGGGGUUAAACACUGCAAAACAGGUACUGCUCCUGUUCUGUAAAAAAAACGACGAGCCCCCACCUUUGACAGUCUGGUUUGAUAAAAAUGGAAGAGUUACGUAGACCAGAAGAGCUGACAUUAAUGGUACAGGACCAUUCAUGGACUUAUGGAUGCACUGGUAAACUGUAGUAUACCAAGCGGACUUUCAGACACUGUUAGUUUAUGGACGUCUGGCAGACAAUCUGGGAAACCAGUUACCCCGCAGUAGAGGGGGAAGGGAUGGGUGUCCAGUAGGAUGUAUGUGCCCUGAUCAAGGGUAUUGCAGCUCAUUUGCCACUCUUUCUCUAGAAGUUCAGUUUGCGUUGAAUAUGCACUUCUGUUUGGCUUAGAGAGUCAGGUGAACGUGACAAUAUGGAUUCGGGAAAGGCAGGUGUUUAGCAAAUGGCUUCUACCUCAUUGCUUUUUGUGAGAAAUGAAGUAUUACCUGUAUGUUCACUUGGCACUUUAGGCUACGGUAGAGAAGGCUACUUGUUUUGAUGCUAACUUUUUGUUACACGCUUUGCACGUUAUAUUCUUAUGUUCUGCUAUUGUGUCUGCGUGUCCGAACUUGGAAUAGGAUAUUACUUGAAUGGCCCUCUAAGGCCACGAAACUGGAAAAUACAAAAUUAUGUGAUCUGCUUUUUGCUGUGGACCUGCAUGCCCGAUUACUUAACUGUUUUCUAUGCAUUUGGUUUGUAAUAAAACUUCAAUUCACAAACAAAAUAUUUGAAAAUAAUUUUUUUUUUUUUAA